AAUGCCACUGACAAAUAACCCUUAUCUCUACUAUCUGUGAUAAAACUUCUCUUGUCACGACCCACUGUCACUCUGGGUCGAAUCACGGAACAACGAUGUUGAAGGGAGUGUUGAUACUCGCGUGGUGUUUAGGAUGCUUUUACACCUCAGCAAAUCCACUUGUUAAGCGACAAGACAUAUCUAAUUCCGAUGUGUGCCACACCAUUUAUCACGGCAAAUGUAUCAACACCAGGGAGUUCCAGUGCAAUGGAAUAGCCAUACCAGGGCUGUGUGGCAACGCAACUCACUUCAGCUUCACUGAUUCCGAUUUGACUGUUAUGCAGUGUUGCAAUGGUUGGAGCAUACAGGCGAUAGGACCAGGAUAAUAUGAUCGGAAUAGGAUCAGAUAUCGCUGGCUAGAACUUUCAAUGUAAGAUUCCCUCACGCCGUCUACCUCACUAUUACGGACCUGUUUUAUACAACUGUUGGGUCGCGUGUUCAAUGUCUCCACUUGUGAUAAAUAAUCUCAUUGAACGCUUAAAUUUAUUUUGAAGUUUUUUGUUUUCAAUAUACUGUUUUUUAAAGGUCGUACAACUAAAAAGAGAGGUAUAUUACUUA